rnacentral:lncRNA from 1 species
GCAUGCUUAUAUCCGAAGAUUUUUUGCUGAUAUUCAACCCAAGAGUCAUAAAUUCCUCGUAUACAUCCCUCAAAAAUCAUAUAGAAUCUUUCCGAAUACAUCACUAGAACUCACUAAACACCCCUUCAAAUUUUUGCAUUUAUGUGCAAUCAAUGUCAAACACAUUAUACAUAAUAACAUAAACUAUGCUACAAUAAGUAUACACAUGAACUUCACUGUAUGGCCCCA